AUCCAUCUGACGAGUCUCAAAAUAGGACGAAAUGUUCAUCUUAGAU
rnacentral:hammerhead_ribozyme from 1 species